rnacentral:misc_RNA from 1 species
AACGCACAUUGCGCCCAUUAGUAUUCUAGUGGGCAUGCCUGUUCGAGCGUCAUUACAACCCUCAAGCGCUGUAGUGCUUGGUGUUGGGGCUUCUGCUGCUAUUGCAGGCCCUGAAAGCCAGUGGCGGGCUCGCCGUGACCCUGAGCGUAGUAGCAUACACAUCGCUUCUGUGGUUCACGGUGGGUUUCCAGCCGUGAAAACCCUUAAUUUUCACAAGUUUGACCUCGGAUCAGGUAGGAAUACCCGCUGAACUUAA